AAAAAUGAAAUCAAUUUUGAUGUUUCACUUACAAUGAAAUUUUGUAAGUUUAUUACCAUUUUUU
rnacentral:tRNA from 1 species